UGAAUGGGAAUUCGGGGAUUAGCUUUCUCACAUAAGAAUAUAUAAAUUACUUAGUGGGUGAAAAGUCCCAUAGUAAGAGGAAAGACGAGAAGACCCUAGAAAUUUUGUAUACAAAUUAUAUAUUUUAUUUUGUUGGGGCGACAUAGUAACAAAUAACUUACUGUAUUAACAAGCUACUAAUAAGUUGAGAGAAUAAAUUACUCUAGGGAUAACAGCAUUAUUCAUUUUGAGUUUAUGACCUCGAUGUUGGACUAGGGAGUAAUCUAUUUAGAAGAUAAAUUAAUAGGCUCUGUUCGAGCUAUAUACCCUACAUGAUCUGAGUUCAAACCGGAGCUCCA
rnacentral:rRNA from 1 species